CAAAACGUAGCUUARGCCACUUAAAGCAYCCGGCUUACACCCGGAA
rnacentral:tRNA from 1 species